GACGAACGCUGGCGGCGUGCCUAAUACAUGCAAGUAGAACGCACAGUUUAUACCGUAGCUUGCUACACCAUAGACUGUGAGUUGCGAACGGGUGAGUAACGCGUAGGUAACCUGCCUGGUAGCGGGGGAUAACUAUUGGAAACGAUAGCUAAUACCGCAUAAUAUUGAUUAUUGCAUGAUAAUUGAUUGAAAGAUGCUAUUGCAUCACUACCAGAUGGACCUGCGUUGUAUUAGCUAGUAGGUGAGGUAACGGCUCACCUAGGCGACGAUACAUAGCCGACCUGAGAGGGUGAUCGGCCAAACUGGGACUGAGACACGGCCCAGACUCCUACGGGAGGCAGCAGUAGGGAAUCUUCGGCAAUGGACGAAAGUCUGACCGAGAAACGCCGCGUGAGUGAAGAAGGUUUUCGGAUCGUAAAGCUCUGUUGUAAGGGAAGAACGGGUGUGAGAGUGGAAAGUUCACACUGUGACGGUAUCUUAACAGAAAGGGACGGCUAACUACGUG
rnacentral:rRNA from 1 species